UCCGGUUUGUCACCGGCAGUCUCCUUAGAGUGCCCACCAUAACGUGCUGGUAACUAAGGACAAGGGUUGCGCUCGUUACGGGACUUAACCCAACAUCUCACGACACGAGCUGACGACAGCCAUGCAGCACCUGUGUUCCGGUUCCCUUGCGGGCACCCCCGGCUUUCACCAGGCUUCCGGACAUGUCAAGGGUAGGUAAGGUUGUUCGCGUUGCAUCGAAUUAAUCCACAUCAUCCACCGCUUGUGCGGGUCCCCGUCAAUUCCUUUGAGUUUUAGCCUUGCGGCCGUACUCCCCAGGCGGGGCGCUUAAUGCGUUAGCUGCGGCACGGAACCCGUGGAAGGGAUCCCACACCUAGCGCCCAACGUUUACGGCGUGGACUAC
rnacentral:misc_RNA from 1 species